AAACCCAGAAGAGCGACGGACAGGGUCCUUUAGUCCGUAGCUUUUCUGGGUAUUU
rfam:Solanum tuberosum cultivar DM 1-3 516 R44 scf00188_31, whole genome shotgun sequence.